rnacentral:rRNA from 1 species
GACGAACGCUGGCGGAGUGCCUAAUACAUGCAAGUAGGACGCAGUUGCGAACGGGUGAGUAACGCGUAGGUAACUGCCUAUUAGCGGGGGAUAACUAUUGGAAACGAUAGCUAAUACCGCAUACUAGUAGAUGGACCUGAGUUGUAUUAGCUAGUAGGUAGGGGAAUGGCCUACCUAGGCGGCGAUAAAUAGCCGAACUGGGGGGGUGAUCGGCCACUCUGGGACUUGGGCACGGCCCAGACUCCUACGAGAGGCAGCAGUAGGGAAACUUUGGCAAUGGGGGUAACCCUGACCGAGCAACGCGGCGGGAGUGAAGACGGCCUUCGGAUCGUACAGCUCUGUUGCGAAGGAAGCGGUACUUACCAAGAAAGGGACGGCUAACUCCGUGCCAGCAGCCGCGGUAAUUC